CCACUUUUCUAACGCGUUUGAUUAAGAAAUGGCGUAAAAAACGCCGUUUAAUUUUUCAAAACGCCGAGAAAAACGGCGUUCUGUUUCGACAAACGCCGUUUUUUCCGACUCUCACAUGGCGCCCUGAACGCACCAUCCGAGUGACGUAAAAAGCGGCGUUCAAAGACAGACGGAAACGCCGUUUUUUCCGCCACUCGGCAGAAAACGCCGUUCAAAGAUGCAUAAAAACGGCGUUUUUUACGGCGUUCUGUGCCAGCUGUAACGGCGUUUAAAACGGCGUUUUAUUGAAAUUAUGCAGGGCACUCCCCAUGGUUCCCUCAUCCAAUUACUUUCAACUCAUUUCACCCAAUCAAAGAAGACGAAGUGCAGACCACACUAAUGCAUCACCGAUUCACCUUGCUGCUGAGUGAUUGCCUAUUCGGUACCAGUGCUUGUCACAGUAUUGACUUGUAUUAUAAUCCCACUAUGCAUUUUGAUGUGUUUAAGGCAUGAUCAAGCAAACAAACGACAGAAUGCUUUUUCUGAAACCUUAACUGUGGUACCUGUUAUGGCAGCUAACAGGUAAUGAGCAGAGCUAGCUCUGCUAAUUUCUGAGCUUCUUUCUUAUUUUCCUCUUUACUUCUCUUAACCUUUAACUUAUGUCUUAGCAAUCAGAUUCUGCCGUCAUGCAUUACCGCUCCGUGCUAGUUAUGUUGACUUUUCUCUUCUUUUGUCUUCUCUUUUUUCACCCGUAUUUAGACACUCGGCGCAUGGCUCCUUUGUUUACGUUAGGGAUCAGCUGUUAGCGCUGCGCCCUGCAGCUGCGCUACCGGCAGACGGUAGCGUCCCCAGUGAGGGAAGAGACGGGGGUGAUGUCUCCCGAGAAGGACACCUUACACACCAUCUCUCCUUCCUGUAAUCACUGUAAACGUGAGAUCGCUCCCUGAUAUGAUUGAGGAGCUAAUGACGCUAACCCGGUCACAGUGGCAGUACCCCGACACUGCCCGGUACUCCCUCUGUGAGUAGGCUGCCCGGCUUCCAGCUGCUGCGGCCGGACAAGACGAGAGACAGCGGUGAGAGGAAAGGAGGGGGACUGGGCAGUGUUUGUUAAAGACGGUUGUGGUAUCCCUGGGCACAUUGCUGUGAAAGAACAACUCUGCAACAGAGACAUUGAGCUAUUAGCCAUUAGCAUCCGUGGAGGCAGCCUGUGACUCUCUGUGGUCCGCAGACGCAAUCUCCGAGAGCUCUUCUUCUAAUAUCAGGGGACUUUAAUCAUGUCUCGCUGGACUCCACACUGACCACCUUCACCCAGUAUGUGACCUGCCCCACCGUAGGCAAUAAAACAUUGUACUUAAUGUAUGCCAAUGAAAAAGUGGCAUACAGUUCAUCACCUCCCCCUGCCCAGGGAAGAUCUGAUCGUAAUUAGUGCGCCUUGUCCCUGUGUGCAGCACUUAGUGUGCACGGAGCCACCAAUCACCCACGCAGUGCCGAGAUGGUCCGCGGAAGGCAUAUGAAUAAAUAAUAAAAGCAAAUAAAUGACAGAAUGCUUUUUCUGAAACAAACGGAGACCUUAACUUUUAUCAAAAUACCGUUUUACUCAGUUUAAAGUAAUACCACUGUAUAAUAGCCUUCAAAUUUAAUAAUGUUAACAGUAUCUCAGGAAUAUUUUUGCCCCAUCAACAUGCAUUAAAAUUAGAUAUGCAGUUUUGAAUCAGACCUGUAUGUACGUUUUCUGAAAAGUGAUGUAAAUAAAUAAUCUCAAAAACAUGAAAUAAUUGUUUCCCAUGUAAACUGGAGUUGUCCUUGUCAAUGUCAUCAGAGUACUCUGGAUGUCUUACAUGAAUUUGAAACAGAGAGUGGCACAUGACAGCGUUGCACAUAACAUAACUAGUUUACCUGUAUGACAUAAAGUAAUUAAAAUAAAAAAGAAUCCAUGUAACUUGGUUAUGGCUUCUUUCUGGUAACUGUAGAUACAAAUCGGCUGCAGUGUGGAUUAUCUUGACAAAAGUAUAAGAUACUGAACCCGCUGAUAUGAUGUGGUGGAGGAAUACAAAUACCUGGACACCCACAUUUAUACAUUUGCUGAACUGGAAGAUCAAAACAGAGGCUGUACACAAGCAGUGGAUGGGCAGGCUUUUUUUUGUGAGCAAGCUUGUGUGUGCACCAAAAUGUUAAUGACAGGUGUUCUGUCAGUUCAGGUGAGUGCAGUGCACUUUGAUGUGUUCUUCUUGGAUCAGGAGAGCAAGCUCUGUGAUUGGCCGCGCUUCGGAAGCUGUGGUGGAGAGGAAGUGAGUGAACAAACUGCCAUGCAUCAUGGAUAUUCCUCUCAGUCCACCUCAUCAGGCACCUCUCUAAAAGUGUGACUCUGGUCUGUUGCCCCAAAGGAUACAGGAAAUGCACUGAUUUCCAGGACAGAAUCGUGUCUGUUUAAUGCUCCAUGAUGAUAACUUUCCUAUGAGCGUUUGAAGAUCACUGACAUCAUGGCUUUUAGCCUCAUUGUUUCUGCAAAGAGAUUUCUCCAGUCACUGAAUCUUUUGAUAAAAUAUAUUUUUAUGCCUCUAGAGGAUGGAAUAUUUUAAGUCUACAACAAACAAAAGAAACAACGUCUAUUUAUAGAUGACCAGAGAUCAAAGCUGCGAUCAUCCAAAGAGCCUCUUUCACAGUGGUAAAUCCCUACAGGUCACCAUAAAAAAAAGCCAUUGAUUUGUAGUUGAGCGUUAAAUUGCAUUGCAACUGAGCGGGUAUAAAGUACCGGAGAAAAUAGAUUGAAUGUUCUUUUGUUAUGACUGAUUUCUGGUCUAGUUACAGUUCACCAGCUUUAAUAAAAUCAUGUCUACUUGCAAUUUAUGUGUAGUUGACCGGAAAAUUAAAGCAGCGAUCACUUGGACUAUUCCUAGCACCCCCCCUCACAGUGGUACAUCCCUUCAGGUAGCCAUUCACAAGUCUUGUACAGUAGAGCGGGACAUUACAUUUACUCUCAGCGGAAUUCACUGGAGAAGGCAUAUAAGUUCAUGCACUGCACUGGCCUGCACCACGAUUAUUAUAAGGUGGAGUAAUGCACGAAUGGAUAAAAAAGAGUGAGCUGUUGAGGAGCAAAUGGAGAUCCGUGUCCAGGGGAGUGAUGCUAUUGCGAGUGUGAAAGGUUGUCCAGGAAGUAACUAAGAAGACAUGAACAGAGAGGUGGUGAUCCUCAGAGGACCGAUGAAGUAGAGCAGCCAGCACCCCAAGUAGAGCAGGCACUGUGGAAAAAUAGUUGUGACUCAACUAGACCAUUACAAAGUAUGGCCUGGAGGAUUUCAUCUCAAGGUGCAAGAACAUUCUUAAUGACUGUACACGGCGGCUGCUGAUGGACGAUGUUGGGCCAGAUGUGCUACAGUUAGCGUUAAGGAGGUUGGAGACUAUGCAGAGAAGCCUUCAGUGGGCAAGAGGAAGACUGAUCAAUGUAACUGCAGCAGAUCAACUUCUGCGUGACUUGGCUGAAUUGAUUCAGGAGGUCGAACUGUCUACUCAGCAUGGCCAACAAGGCUGUUUUGGAUACCAGGCACCAGUGGUUUUCAACAGAGGUAGAGGUAGAUCCCUUUACCUUAUCACUCGGGAACAGCUUUCAUUCCUGAAGUCAUGUGGAUUCACUGCACCUCAGAUGGCUGAUAUUUUGAAUGUUUCACUUCGUACAAUUCGAAGACGUCUGCGACAGUAUCAUUUCACCCGUGCAUCAAUGUA